UAUAAUGUUGAUUAACAGUUCUAGGGUUAAUUGUUUUUUUUUUUAUUUUUCUGCUAUUUAUUAUUUUUAAAUAUUGUAUAUACAUUUAUUAUUAUUUUCAUAGCUCUAAUACUCUAUUCUUGUGGUCAUUAAACCUAAAAAGCUUAUAACCCUAAAAGUCUUAUAAUCAUAAUGACUGGUAACACACAUAAGCCAGAUGUGCUGCCAGUACAAAUUUACAAAUAAUAUCAAAAUAAUAUUUUUAUGACAUCAGUUCAGAGCUCAAAAAUUACUAUAGUUGAGGAUCUAUAUAGGGAACAGUAUAUGUCAUAUGUACUUGAGAUUUAGAAGUUCACACCCAAUAAAUUGAUAACAGUCCUACAAGACUUUGAUACUGAGUGUCUGUCAAUUGUCUUGAAAGUAUUACAGUGAUUCAUCAGUUGUUUUAAAUCAAGUAUAAGAAGUAGAACAAAUUAGUUAAGUUAAAGUUAGAUGUAGGAAAUGGUAUUUUUUGUCCCUGAUUGGACAGAGUGCUGUGUAAACAUUGAGUCUUUACCCCACAUCUUGAAGAAAAAAGCCACCAAAGAAUGAUACUCUAUGAAAUACAAAACAAGCUAAUAAGUUAGACGUAAUUGACAGAAACGUCUUGACAAUAUUGAUAAUUUGACAGUUCAGUCAAAUACAAAGCUUUAUUUUUGUUCUGAUACUCCAUUUAACAGUUCAAGUUCAGAUAACUAGUACAACAAAAUUUUAGCUUUGAAAAUCUUUAAACUGCCACAGUUAUUACAAGAAUAUUGAACAAUUGGACGUAUAUCUCAUUUGAGAGUUUGUUGGUAUUAUUCAGCUAUUUAGGUACAUUUAUAGAUUAAGUCAGUGGUUAUUUAAAGUGAACCAGAUAGCUCUAAUAAGUACAUGUGACAGUUUUAAAUGUGAAUUCUUUCUUGGACAACAAACAAUCAAGAAUUGUUUGGAAUUAUGAUCGUUCACGUUUAUUUACAAACAGAUCAUUCUGUUUUCCAUUCAGUUAAAUUUAAUACAGACGAUUGCUAUAAAUUUACAAUCUCAUAUUAGAUUUAUACUAUUGCUUAUUUGGUCAAUUAAAAAAAGGUUAACUAAUAUACAAUAUUUGAAAGGUUCAUCACACAAGCAAAACUGUUGUUCAACUGUGAAAAAAUACAGUACUGUUGAUGUUCACUUUUCAAGUUGACAAUAACUUUGAUUUGUAUAGGUUCAAUGGCUGUGACAGAAGCAGCUGUGAUGCUCAUGGUUGUCACUAUAGUUGUAUUUAAUAAUUUAAUAUAUGGUAAGUUAUUUUAGGUGUCAUAGAUUACAGAUAAAAUGUUAUUUGGAUGUUGAAACUUUGUUUUGCAUAUUAACACAUUUACUGCGGCAGACGCCUUAUGGUGCACAACACUAGGAAGAGUAGUUAGUCUCUCUCGUUAUAGAGCCGCAGUGAAGGUGGUAACUACAUGUGUAUUAUAGCUAGGCAGUUAUUUUACAAUAGUUAACAUGUUGACUGCGGCAGAACCUUAUGGUGUAACAGUAGGAAAUGUAGUUGGUCUCACUCAGUAUAGAGCCGCAGUGAAGGUGUUAGGAGCUGUUGUGCAAGAUUUUUGGAUCUUGAAUUAACAUAAGAUUUUAUUUUUAAUAAAGCUAAUAUUGUGUUUUAUUUUUAUACUAAUUAAAGCUAAUAUUGUGUCAAAAUAAGCAACUGUGGGCCCAUAGCCCCAUAAAAGAACAUUAAACCACCCACUUGUCACUAAGCCUAUUUGGCCAAAAAAGCACAUCAUAUUCACCUGAUUUAGAUUUUAAGAAUUUAAGUUAAUGAUAUUUGGUUUAAUUUUUGUUUAUUGCAAAAUUGACUGUAUCCAAAAGAGCUAUAUAACUUAGUUUAUUCACAUAAGUUAUUUUAUCAGUAGGUCUUAUUUUUCAGAUAAGUUUAAAUAGUGUAUUAGGAUUUUAUAAAUUAACCCGUUAGGACUUUAACCUAUUACAUAUUAUUAUUUCUCAAUUUUGGUUGCAAGGUUUUACAAGAAAUAUAGUUUAAAAGAUAACAUUUACACGUAUCAAACUCUUACUGUGCAGUGUGUACAGUUUGUUAUAAAUAAGUUAGCAUUUCAACAAAGAAUUUGUUAAAUAAAACUAAAGUUAUACACACUAAUUAGCUGGGUCCAUAUAAGUCACACCUUUAUAAUUCAUGUUAGUUACCAUACAGAACUUCAUGAAAAAAUAUUUGUAUAUUGUGUAUAAACUAAACAAUAUGCAGCCAAAACUUGGCAGGUUGAAAUUGUACAAGGAAUCUCAAAAGUGAAUGAAAAACAAUCCAGUAUACUACUUGGAUGGAUUCUUGAUGCUUCAGAAAAAAUCUAUCAAUGAAUAACUUGAAUUACAUGUAUGUUAUUCAACCUAUAAUGUAUAAAUAAAUUAGAUAUUUCACAAAACCCUACAACCAAAAGUUUGGGAAUAAACCAGUUUAAACUUAGUAGUGACUUUUAAGGAUAAAUAUCAAGAUUGCCUUCAAUAGAACCAGUCCUUAAGUAAUUUAAAGCAACAAUUUUAACUUUAACACUGUUUGUUAAAUAAUUAUCCAUUAAAUUAUUCAUUACACUAGUGGUGUGCAGUGACUGAAAAUCUGAAAACCUGGAUAUUAAAAAUUGUUUCCAUUAAAAAUAUGUUUGUCAUAAAUUUUAUAAAAAUGUCGUCUGGAUUGUGAAAAUAGUGUUUAUAAGAAGAAAAUACUAGAAUCAUUUCUAUUUGUUGCCAUUAACAUGACAAAAUCUCAUCAAGAAAGAAAAUGCAAUAACUGUGGUAUUUUGUUAAAGUGUAUUCAAUAAGAAUUCUUCCAGGCUAUAGUAGGGUCAUUCUAGAAGCUAUCUCUGUAAUGAAGUCUUCAAAGCUUACCCACUCUUAUAACGCAAGUCCUGGGGGAGAUGGUUGAACAGUUUUCUACCCAUGACCCAUAUACAAGAAGUAACUGUUUAGAAUGUUUUAUGUAUAUUCCGAGAUCUAUGUAUUUGUAUUUUCUUGAUUGGAGCAACAUGCUUGCUUAGGUAUGUUUAUUUACGUUUGGAAAAUAUCGUAGGACUCCUUCAUAUUAUGUGAUAAGUGCUUUCAUUGAGUAGUAUAAGGAAAGAUUUUGAAAAUUGUGUGCGAAGCCGCAGGUAGCAGCUAGUCUUAUAAAUAUAAAUAAAUUACUAAAUGUGUUCCUAAGAGCUAAUCUCGGUUAGAACUGGACCAAUUCGGCUAAUUGAAAUGCUUUUGAUUGUUGCUUUUUGAAAUGUUCGUUGGAAGUCCAAAGAAGGGUAUAUACUAAGAAUAAUAAAGGAAGUAAUAUGAAGAGAAAGAUUGGUAAAGUUUCUGGGCUUAAGUAUGUAUGUGUAUAUUAUUCAUCGCGACAAGGCAAUUUCAACUGUAGUUCUGAAAAUAUCUUGAACUGAAAGAAUAUUGCAAGAGCCGGAAGUAGACCCUUUUUGGCUGAGUAAGUUUCUGAGACCUGCAUACAUACAUAUAAUUUUUGAUCGGGACGAUAAAAAGAACUUAAAUAUGACAAAGUAAAUGCCUUAGAUCCAAAGGAAAUUAAAACUGAAGUAAACACUUUUAGAUCGAAUUAGUCUUUCAAUCCUACUUAGGUAAUAUAUUUUUCCUCAUGUAAGGCAAACUCAACUAUGGAUCUGGAAAUAUCUUAGAUUAGAAUUAGAUUAUGAGGGUUGAAAGUAAAUGGUUUUUAUACUGGAGUAGAUAUUUGAGACCUAUGUAUGUAUUUUCUUGUUCGGGGCAAUAAGGCAAACUCAGCUGUGACGUUGGAAAUAUAUUGCAGUCAAACCAGAAAUGCUUCUUUAAGCACAAAACCCAAUAUAAGAAUCAGUCACCUAACCUCUGAUCCUCUUAACCAGGAAAACUGAAAUAAUAUGGCCUGAUGUAUGCCUACUUAUGAUUGAAAAAUAUCAUAGGACACCAUUAUAAGAAAAGAAAUUUUCACUUUCUUUUUCACUGUGCACCACUUUUAUGAUAGUUCUUCUUAUAUCAAUUUUACAGAGUUGUGAAGUACAGUAGAUUAGAAGUAUUAGCUUCUUGUGAUUUACUAUAAACAUUUCAAAUUUAAUUCAAAUGUAGAAUUAGAGUUUUAGAUCUUCGCUUUUUCAUAGUUCAGUAUUACAUUUGACUCUGUUGUAGUGUUCCUACUACUGGUGUGGAUAAUGUACAAAUAUAAUUAAACAGGAUUAUUUACAAAUCCUAAUCAGAUAAUGGACUAAAAAAUAAUGAAGGUGAUUUUAAGAUGGUAAUUAAUAUUAAUUCCAGUCUAUAUUAAAUAAGCGGUAUCUUAACCCUCUGUCUACCUGGGAUUGGAAAUUAAUUUUGUCAUAUUGUUACAGAAAACUAACUUAUUGUUACAAGCUUCAAACUGACUACCUUUAUAUUUUUAUAACCUAUAUUGUUUGUUUUUUGUGUUAAAUCAAAUUUGCUCAUGUUUAGCAUUGUUGAUCUUAUUAUUUUAUGUAAUUCUCAAAUAUUUAAUAAAAUUUUGGAAAAAGGAUUUGGAUGAAAAUGUUACUUAAACUAGUAGGAAAUGUAAAAGGAGACUAAUUAGGAAAAUACUGCAGAGUGCCAGAGAAUGUCCUCGGCCAGGUAGACGGAGGAUCAGGAGAUAGGUUACUUCAUACAGACUGUAGAUAUGUGCAUUUAAUGUGCUACACAGUUCAGUAGUACCAACACUACAACUCUGAGAGUGAAUAAAUGACAAAACUGUAUGUGAUGUAUUUGUGGUGGAAUAGAGUAGACAUUAAUAAAUAAUGUGUGAUGUUAUACACUAUUUACAAAGAAGAAACUUGUUAUAUUCUGAUUGUAAUUUAUCAGUGCUGUGUUAUAAUAAAACUAUUUUGUUACUGCA